CGCGCAGGCGGCCUUUCAAGUCAGGCGUGAAAGCCCCGGGCUUAACCUGGGAAUUGCGCUUGGGACUGGAAGGCUUGAGUACGGGAGAGGAGAGUGGAAUUCCCAGUGUAGAGGUGAAAUUCGUAGAUAUUGGGAAGAACACCGGUGGCGAAGGCGGCUCUCUGGACCGUAACUGACGCUGAGGCGCGAAAGCGUGGGGAGCAAACAGGAUUAGAUACCCUGGUAGUCCACGCUGUAAACGAUGUGCGCUAGACGUUGGAAGGCCUAGCCUUCCGGUGUCGCAGCUAACGCUUUAAGCGCACCGCCUGGGGAGUACGGCCGCAAGGUUAAA
rnacentral:rRNA from 1 species